AUAAGCUAAACCUUAACAGUGAAACUGCGAAUGGCUCAUUAAAUCAGUUAUAAUUUAUUUGAUCUUUCCUUACCAGUGGAUAUCCGUGGUAAUUCUAGAGCUAAUACAUAUACGCGAAGACCCGACUUCUGGAAGGGUUGUAUUUAUUAGAUAAAAAACCAAUGUGGGCAACCACUUUUUUGGUGAUUCAUAGUAACUUUACUGAUCGCAUUUAUUUGCGACAUAUCAUAAAAAUUUCUGCCCUAUCAACUUUCGAUGGUAAGGUAGUGGCUUACCAUGGUUUUUACGGGUGACGGGGAAUAAGGGUUCGAUUCCGGAGAGGGAGCCUGAGAAACGGCUACCACAUCCAAGGAAGGCAGCAGGCGCGCAAAUUACCCAAUCCUGAUACAGGGAGGUAGUGACAAUAAAUAACGAUCUAGGGCCCUUAGGGUCAUAGAAUUGGAAUGAGUACAAAUUAAAACUAUUAACGAGGAACAA
rnacentral:rRNA from 1 species